rnacentral:tRNA from 1 species
GGCUCUCUAGCUCACAAGGCAGAGCGCUCCGCUCAUAACGGAGAGGGGCUUGGUUCGAUUCCAAGGAGAGCCACCG